rnacentral:misc_RNA from 1 species
AUUUAAUUAAAAAAAAAUUACCUUAGGGAUAACAGAGUAAAAAUUUUUUAGAGAUCAAAUCAAAAAAAUAAUUUACUACCUCGAUGUUGAAUUAAGAAAAUUUUUAAUAGAAGAAAAUUAAAAUAAUAGGUCUGUUCGACCUUUAAAUUCUUACAUGAUUUGAGUUAAGACCGGUGAAAGCCAGGUUGGUUUCUAUCUUUAAAAUAAAUAAAUUUUUUAGUACGAAAGGACCAAAAAUUAAAAAAUAUUUUAAUUAAUUAGCUUUUAGCAUAUAUUUUGAAAAUAUAAGAAAGAUUUUUAUGAAUCUAUUAAU